UACGGAGGGUGCAAGCGUUAUCCGGAUUCACUGGGUUUAAAGGGUGCGUAGGCGGGCAGUUAAGUCCGUGGUGAAAUCUCUGAGCUUAACUCAGAAACUGCCAUGGAUACUAUCUGUCUUGAAUAUUGUGGAGGUAAGCGGAAUAUGUCAUGUAGCGGUGAAAUGCUUAGAUAUGACAUAGAACACCAAUUGCGAAGGCAGCUUGCUACACAGUUAUUGACGCUGAGGCACGAAAAGCGUGGGGGAUCAAACAGG
rnacentral:rRNA from 1 species